UGAAGCUACAGCUGCUGACCUGCUAAUCACUCUCCUGCAUUUUGCUCUUGUGGGAUGGAGGCGACAAAGGAGGAGGUGGAGAUGGAAGUGAUCUGAGCUUCCCUAAGGGACCUCACUGUGUGAAAAGCUUUGCUGGCAAAUUCUCAUCCCUCCUGUCUUUCAGACUCACAACCUAAGGGCUGGUGGGCCCAAGUGAUCCCUACUGCCAAGGACACAAGAAACAGGGACAACAAACACCAAGCCUGUCUGAAUUUCAUAUUUAAAACUCUCCAGAUGAAAUAUUGCUGGUGGUUUUAUCUCAGCCCCCCGGGUGGGGACAUAGCUCCAGAUGCAGGAUGCAUGAGUGCUGGGAGGAAAGUGACUAAGAUCAGCUGGUCUGCAUUGCUAGAAAAGAGUGUCAGUUUCCCCAUUGAUAUUUUGCCAGUUCCAAGCCUUAAGAACAGGGACAUUUCAGCUUUUGGAGGGCUGGAAAUUUGGAGCUAGAUCUACGUUUUGUGGCUUGUGCCCAUUUCUACUUGAAGUUAAAUGACCACUGGCAUAGGCAAUUCUACUACAAAGAAACAGAGAAAUUGCAUUCCUGGAUCAGACCUGGUCCAUCUAGCCCAGUGUCAUACCCCUAACAGUGCCAGCACCAGCUGUUCCAGAGAUGCCAGCUGAUCAAUGCCCAAGCUGAACCUCUCACUAGGCUAGAUUUUGACAGAGACUGUGCCACCAAGCAGGGGCUUGAGUGGGAGUCAGACUCCUCAAUGCCCCCCACAACGUACGGAUUUGAACAGACACAGAGUCACAUCUGAUCAUCAACCCCUAAGGAACCUCUUACAAACUGAAUUGCUUCUGACGAGCUGCUUGGAGCUGGAAAAGAAACUAACAUCCACAUAAGGGAGUAAACGCUUUUAUGGGAAAGCUUUAUCUUUAAGUGUAAAGACUUUGACGCUGCCCCUUUAAAGACAAAAUACAAAUACAGCAGAGCUUCCUGCAAUCAACGUGCAAAGCAGAGGUCUGGAGCAUGGCUCAUUGCAGCCAAGCUCCCAGGAAGAACAUUCACAACCAUGUUAUCCACUCUGUUCAUGCUGCCUGUGUGUUAUAUUCCUUUCCCCCUAGCUUGUGUCUGUCUUGUUUGUUUUAGAUGGUCCACUCUUCAGGGCAAGGGCAACGUGAGACUCUCUGUUUGUACAGGAUCUAGCACAAUGGGGCCCCACUCUUGGGUCUUAACUAUUACCAUAAUAUACCUGUUUAAUAAUAAUGUUUUCCUCUCAAUUCCAUCCCUCUUCCUAAAGAACCUCUCACUGCUCAGUUCAGCCCCUAGCCCUACCCAGCACCAUGCCUCCUACAAUGAGAUGGAGGACUUAAUUCCCGACAGGCAGUCUUGCAAAUCCUUACAUUCAGGGCAAUCAGGGCUGCUUCCUCUAGCCAGAGGCAUGGCUAACCCCCUCCCAGCCAACCAUUGGACAGGAUCUGUCUCUAUAACCCCUCCCAGUACUAGUGGUCCUCUAACUCCAUCCCUCCCUUUAGAAUGUCUUCAAGUUCACCUGAGUAACUUCGAUACAAUCAGCAAAAUUAAAGAGCAGCUGAAUUAGAAGAGGUGGGGAAUUGGGUGUUUGGGGAGUUAUUACUCCCUGGACUGGGGAAAGUGCAGAAUUUCACCCAAUGGAGAAAUCAGACUCUGAAACUGAUUGGUUUCGGGUCUAGCAUUGGUUUAUGGACAUAGGCAUCCAUCUAAACCUAACCUAAGAACACGUGCAGUGUGGAUACUGCAGUAUGUACCACAGACCAGCAGCCACGCACAGCAGCUGUCAAAGGGAAUGUUGGGGGGUAGAUUUUAAAUGCUGAUUUCUGGCUGAGUGACAGGUCUCUGAGCUGGAAGUGAAGUGAGGCUCCUGCCUUUGCAGCCCUGGAGUAGGAUAAGAAAGGAACGUCACUGGCACCAACAUGUCUGCUGUAGACAGGAGAUACUCCCAAAGGGCAUCACUCACAGCACCCAAGAGGGAAUAAACUGCUUCUGCUGCUAU